rnacentral:lncRNA from 1 species
CGGACGUGGUCGCGAAAGGGUGCAAGCGAAAUCUUCAUCCUCAGGGCAUAGGCCAGCUGAGGAGGCAUUCGUACCACAAGCAACUGAGAUUGGGUCAUAUGAUCGGGCUACGGGGGACGAUGCUUUGUCCCAAGCCAUGUUAAGGGUUUUAGAGAGAGUUGCUAGAGCUAGCACUGGGACAGUAAAUAGGGGAUCCAUAUCGGAACGACUCCGG